rnacentral:rRNA from 1 species
GAUGAACGCUGGCGGCGUGCCUAAUACAUGCAAGUCGAGCGAACAGACGAGGAGCUUGCUCCUCUGACGUUAGCGGCGGACGGGUGAGUAACACGCGGAUAACCUACCUAUAAGACUGGGAUAACUUCGGGAAACCGGAGCUAAUACCGGAUAAUAUAUUGAACCGCAUGGUUCAAUAGUGAAAGACGGUUUUGCUGUCACUUAUAGAUGGAUCCGCGCCGCAUUAGCUAGUUGGUAAGGUAACGGCUUACCAAGGCAACGAUGCGUAGCCGACCUGAGAGGGGGAUCGGCCACACCGGAAACUGGAAACCGUCCCAACCCCCACGGGGGGCAGCAGUAGGGAAUCUUCCCGAAUGGGCGAAAGCCUGAAGGGGCAACGCCGCGGGAGGGGAGAAGGGUUUCGGAUUUGAAAACUUUUUUUUUUGGGAAAAAAAAAUGUGUAAGUAACUAUGCACGUCUUGACGGGACCUAAUCAGAAAACCACCGCUAACCACCUU